rnacentral:misc_RNA from 1 species
GAUGAAGAACGUAGCGAAAUGCGAUACUUGGUGUGAAUUGCAGAAUCCCGUGAACCAUCGAGUCUUUGAACGCAAGUUGCGCCUGAAGUCUCGGCUAAGGGCACGUCUGCCUGGGCGUCACGCAUCGCGUCUCCCCCAAACCGCCAAGGCGGAGGGGAAGGAAGAUGGCUUCCCGUGCCUCACCCGGCGCGGUUGGCCUAAAUUUGGAGCCCGCGGCACUUAGCUCACGCGGCGAUAGGUGGUGAACAAGGCCUUGGCCGUGCAAACAACCCGCUGCGAAGCUCUAUGUCACGUGCGCUCGUCGGACCCUUUGAAGUUGCCUUCGGUGACUUAAAACCUUUGCGACCCCAGGUCAGGCGGGGCUACCCGCUGAAUUUAAGCAUAUCAAUAAGCGGAGGA